GGGAGGUAAAUUUCUCCUAAGGCUAAAUAUUGGCGAGAGACCGAUAGCGAACAAGUACCGUGAGGGAAAGAUGAAAAGAACUUUGAAAAGAGAGUUAAAAAGUACGUGAAAUUGUUGAAAGGGAAACGAUUAAAGUCAGUCGUACCGACGAGAAAUCAACUCAUCGAAUUGGUAUUUGCGGGCGUAUGAGAGCUUCACGGUCUCAUUGUUUGCAAAUGCAUUUUUUUUGGGUGUACUUUUUCGUAUGGUAGGUCAGCGUCGGUUUCGAUUGCUAUAAAAUAACCGGAGGAAUGUAGCUUCGAU
rnacentral:rRNA from 1 species